CGUUUUGGACAGUUGAAUAGUUGCCAUGGGAGAUCAAAGGAUUUAUCAAACAUGCAAGAAUCAAGGCAACACUCCAGCAUCCAGAUGAUGAGCCAUGGUGACUGUGUCCAACGAGGCCUCGUUCAGAUCAGUGAGAAACCGUGUGUGAACAGCCCUGUCUCCCAGUGUGCUCAUUGAGCAGCUAUGAGACCUCUGGGUUUGAAGUUUUCAACAUUUGAUCCAUGGGAAACCCUUGCAGACAAUGAUGCUGGUGAACAAUGUAGCCCCAGUUCGGAGUGUCCCCUGAGAGCCACUGCACACUGCAGAUCUUAUGACCUGUCCUGGAUACAUCUCCCCACUGGGAAUGGACCACUCCCAUCUGGCUUGGUACACUAUCUAGGAGAAGAAUCACUACCAUGACAGAAGUGGUGGCAGUAUAAGGCUGCUGGGAUGAUUGUUCUCAUGGCAAGAUGGACACAGGACAACUAAAGAGAACUUAAACUACAGUCUUAAAACUACAUCCUACAGCCACCUGCAGAAAUGCACUCCUUGGUCAGAAGCAACCAAUCAUAGCCAGGAGGAGGGCAUUAGCGCUGAC